UCCGGUUUGUCACCGGCAGUCUCCUAUGAGUCCCCGACAUAACUCGCUGGCAACACGCCACGGGGGUUGCGCUCGUUGCGGGACUUAACCCAACAUCUCACGACACGAGCUGACGACAGCCAUGCACCACCUGUACACCCCCAAAAGAAGCCCCAUCUCUGGAGCGGCAGGGUGUAUGUCAAACCCAGGUAAGGUUCUUCGCGUUGCAUCGAAUUAAUCCGCAUGCUCCGCUGCUUGUGCGGGCCCCCGUCAAUUCCUUUGAGCUUUAGCCUUGCGGCCGUACUCCCCAGGCGGGAUGCUUAAUGCGUUAGCUUCGGCACGGACGGAGUCGACACCGCCCACACCUAGCAUCCAUCGUUUACGGCGUGGACUAC
rnacentral:misc_RNA from 1 species